GGCUCAGUGGUCCAAUGGUAAACCCCUCGUCGCGGAGGCAUAUGGUCCUGGGUUCGAACCCCAGCAGGGUCG
rnacentral:tRNA from 1 species